CUGAGCCAGGAUCAAACUCGACGUGUGGGUUGAGGCUCGUAGGGAGAUCUGCCAGGUAAAUCCGGUGGGUCGCUAAUCCUGAGGGGCCGGAGCGAUCGCCGCAAGGCGAACAAAGCUGGUGACGCCACGCUGCCGAGAAAAGCCUCUAAGGAGUGGAGUGGGUACCCGUACCGCAAACCGACACAGGUAGGCGAGGAGAAAAUCCUCAGGCGCAAGUGUGAUCCCUCGUUUAGGAACUCGGCAAAUUGACCCCGUAACUUCGGAAGAAGGGGUGCUCCGCUAUCGUUAGCUGGUUUACCCAGCGAAGCGAGAGGGAGUUGCAAUAAAGAGGCUCAGGCGACUGUUUACUAAAAACACAGGGCUCUGCGAAGUCGAAUACGACGUAUAGGGUCUGACGCCUGCCCGGUGCCGGAAGGUUAAAGGGAGAGGUUAGCCGCAAGGCGAAGCUUCGAACUGAAGCCCCGGUAAACGGCGGCCGUAACUAUAACGGUCCUAAGGUAGCGAAAUUCCUUGUCGGGUAAGUUCCGACCUGCCCGAAUGGCGUAACGAUCUGAGCGCUGUCUCAACGAGGAGCACUGCGAAUUUGUGGUACCGGUGAAGACGCCGGUUGCCCGUCACAAGACGAAAAGACCCCGUGCACCUUUACUACAUCCUAGUAGUGAAUGCUGACGCAGUAUGCGCAGGAUAGGUGGGAGGCUUUGAACCCGGGAUCUCGGUCUCGGGGGAGCCAACGGUGAGAUACCACCCUUACUGCUUCGGCGUUCUAACCUCGUUCUGUUAUCCAGAUCAGGGACACUGCUAGGUGGGUAGUUUGACUGGGGCGGUCGCCUCCUAAAGAGUAACGGAGGCGCUCGAAGGUUCGCUCAGGCUGUUUGGAAAUCAGCCAUAGAGUGCAAAGGCAUAAGCGAGCUUGACUGCGAGAUCUACAAAUCGAGCAGGUGGGAAACCAGGACUUAGUGAUCCGGUGGUUCCGCGUGGAAGGGCCAUCGCUCAACGGAUAAAAGGUACGCCGGGGAUAACAGGCUGAUCCUAGCCAAGAGUUCACAUCGACGCUAGGGUUUGGCACCUCGAUGUCGGCUCAUCGCAUCCUGGAGCUGUAGCAGGUUCCAAGGGUCCGGCUGUUCGCCGGUUAAAGCGGUACGUGAGCUGGGUUUAGAACGUCGCGAGACAGUUCGGUCUCUAUCUGUGAUGGGCGCAGGAGAUUUGAGUGGGGCUGACCUUAGUACGAGAGGACCGGGUUGGACGGACCUCUAGUGUAUCGGUUGUCGCGCCAGCGGCAGUGCCGAGUAGCUACGUCCGGAAGGGAGAAACGCUGAAGGCAUCUAAGCGUGAAACCCUCCACGAGAUGAGAUCUCCCAGGGAGUAACAUCCCUCUGAAGGCUCCUGGUAGACGACCAGGUUGAUAGGCCAGGUGUGGAAGCGCAGUAAUGCGUUAAGCUAACUGGUACUAAUGAGCCGUGAGGCUUGACCCU
rnacentral:rRNA from 1 species